UUUUGGCACAGGGGUUACACCUGUUCCCAUCCCGAACACAGAAGUUAAGACCUGUUGCGCCUAUGGUACUGCCAGCUUACGUUGGUGGGAGAGUCGGUCAGCGCCGGAU
rnacentral:rRNA from 1 species